rnacentral:rRNA from 1 species
CAAUAGCGUAUAUUUAAGUUGCUGCAGUUAAAAAGCUCGUAGUUGGAUUUUGGGUGGGAAUGGCCGGUCCGCCGUUUCGGUGUGCACUUGCUACGCCCACCUUGCUGCCGGGGACGUGCUCUUGAGUUCACGCUCGGGACACGGAGUCGGCGAGGUUACUUUGAGUAAAUUAGAGUGUUCAAAGCAGGCCUACGCUCUGAAUACAUUAGCAUGGAAUAACACGAUAGGACUCUGGCCUAUCUUGUUGGUCUGUAGGACCGGAGUAAUGAUUAAGAGGGACAGUCGGGGGCAUUCGUAUUUCAUUGUCAGAGGUGAAAUUCUUGGAUUUAUGAAAGACGAACUACUGCGAAAGCAUUUGCCAAGGAUGUUUUCAUUAA